UACGUAGGGUGCAAGCGUUAACCGGAAUUACUGGGCGUAAAGCGUGCGCAGGCGGUUUUGUAAGUCAGGUGUGAAAUCCCCGGGCUUAACCUGGGAACUGCGUUUGAAACUACAAGGCUAGAGUGUGGCAGAGGGGGGUGGAAUUCCACGUGUAGCAGUGAAAUGCGUAGAGAUGUGGAGGAACACCGAUGGCGAAGGCAGCCCCCUGGGUUAACACUGACGCUCAGGCACGAAAGCGUGGGGAGCAAACAGG
rnacentral:rRNA from 1 species